AUUGAACGCUGGCGGCAGGCCUAACACAUGCAAGUCGAACGAGUGGCGGACGGGUGAGUAAUGUCUGGGAAACUGCCUGAUGGAGGGGGAUAACUACUGGAAACGGUAGCUAAUACCGCCUACCAUCGGAUGUGCCCCGAUGGGAUGAGCUAGUAGGUGGGUGAAAGGCUCACCUAGGCGACGAUCCCUGGCUGGUCUUAGCGGAUGACCAGCCACACUGGAACUGAGAGACGGUCCAGACUCCGACGGGAGGCAGCAGUGGGGAAUAUUGCACAAUGGGCGCAAGCCGGAUGCAGCCAUGCCGCGUGUAUGAAGAAGGCCUUCGGGUUGUAAAGUACUUUCAGCGGGGAGGCGUUACCCGCAGAAGAAGCACCGGCUAACUCCGUGCCAGCAGCCGCGGUAAUUC
rnacentral:rRNA from 1 species